rnacentral:rRNA from 1 species
AUUGAACGCUGGCGGCAGGCUUAACACAUGCAAGUCGAGCGGGCGAGGUUGCUUCGGUCACUGAGCUAGCGGCGGACGGGUGAGUAAUGCUCAGGAAUCUACCUAUAAGCGGGGGAUAAUCUUCGGACACGGGUGCUAAUACCGCCUAAUAUCUUCUUCCGCAUGGCAGAAGAUUGAAAGACGGCUCUGCUGUCACUUAUAGAUGACCUUGCGGUGCAUUAGUUAGUUGGUGGGGUAAUGGCCUACCAAGACGAUGAUGCAUAGCCGACCUGAGAGGGUGAUCGGCCACAUUGGGACUGAGACACGGCCCAAACUCCUACGGGAGGCAGCAGUAGGGAAUCUUCCGCAAUGGGCGAAAGCCUGACGGAGCAAUGCCGCGUGAGUGAAGAAGGCCUUCGGGUCGUAAAACUCUGUUAUAAGAGAAGAACAAAUUGUAGAGUAACUGCUACAGUCUUGACGGUAUCUUAUCAGAAAGCCACGGCUAACUACGUGCCAGCAGCAGCCGCCG